rnacentral:rRNA from 1 species
UACGUAGGGGGCAAGCGUUGUCCGGAUUUAUUGGGCGUAAAGAGCGUGUAGGCGGCCAGACAGGUCCGUUGUGAAAACUCGAGGCUCAACCUCGAGACGCCGAUGGAAACCGUCUGGCUAGAGUCCGGAAGAGGAGAGUGGAAUUCCUGGUGUAGCGGUGAAAUGCGCAGAUAUCAGGAGGAACACCGGUGGCGAAGGCGGGACUCUGGGCCGAUACUGACGCUGAGGAGCGAAAGCGUGGGGAGCAAACAGG